rnacentral:rRNA from 1 species
ACGUAGGAGACGAGCGUUAUCCGGAUUUACUGGGCGUAAAGCGCGGGUCGGUGGGGCCUUAAGUCAUGCGUGAAAGCUCUCGGCUUAACCGGGAGAGGUCGUGUGAAACUGGGGUUCUGGAGGUAGGUAGAGGCAGAUGGAAUUCCGGGUGGAGUGGUGAAAUGCGUAGAGAUCCGGAGGAACACCAGUGGCGAAGGCGAGUCCCUGGACGACACCUGACACUGAGGCACGAAAGCUAGGGGAGCAAACA